CCUACGGGUGGCAGCAGUAGGGAAUCUUCGGCAAUGGACGAAAGUCUGACCGAGCAACGCCGCGUGAGUGAAGAAGGUUUUCGGAUCGUAAAACUCUGUUGUUAGAGAAGAACAAGGACGUUAGUAACUGAACGUCCCCUGACGGUAUCUAGCCAGAAAGCCACGGCUAACUACGUGCCAGCAGCCGCGGUAAUACGUAGGUGGCAAACAUUGUCCGGAUUUAUUGGGCGUAAAGCGGGCGCAGGCGGUUUCUUAAGUCUGAUGUGAAAGCCCCCGGCUCAACCGGGGAGGGUCAUUGGAAACUGGGAGACUUGAGUGCAGAAGAGGAGAGUGGAAUUCCAUGUGUAGCGGUGAAAUGCGUAGAUAUAUGGAGGAACACCAGUGGCGAAGGCGGCUCUCUGGUCUGUAACUGACGCUGAGGCUCGAAAGCGUGGGGGGCAAACAGGAUUAGAUACCCGGGUAGUC
rnacentral:rRNA from 1 species